UGAGGAAUUUUCCGCAAUGGGCGAAAGCCUGACGGAGCGACGCCGUGUGGGUGAUGAAGGCCUUCGGGUCUUAAAACCCUGUCAGCAGGAACGAUAUUGACGGUACCUGCAGAGGAAGCCCCGGCUAACUACGUGCCAGCAGCCGCGGUAAUACGUAGGGGGCGAACGUUGUCCGGAAUCAUUGGGCGUAAAGCGCAUGUAGGCGGUCCCGUAAGUCAAGUGUCAAAUCCCCUCGCUCAACGAGGGUCCGCAUUUGAUACUGCGGGGCUUGAGAAAUGUAGAGGAAAGCGGAACUACCGGUGUAGCGGUGAAAUGCGUAGAUAUCGGUAGGAACACCAGUGGCGAAGGCGGCUUUCUGGCCAUUUUCUGACGCUGAGAUGCGAAAGCAAGGGGAGCAAACGGG
rnacentral:rRNA from 1 species